GACCAUGUUGCUCAGUUGGCAGAGCAUAUUGCCAUUGGGUUAGUAUUCCAAAGGUCGUAGGUUCGAUUUCCAGUGACCAUGGUCA